rnacentral:rRNA from 1 species
GACGAACGCUGGCGGCGUGCUUAACACAUGCAAGUGGAGCGACGAACCAGGCUUCGGCCUGGGGCAGAGCCGCGAACGGGUGAGUAACACGUGGGUAAUCUGCCCUCGGCACCGGAAUAGCCCGGGGAAACCCGGAUUAAUGCCGGAUGGCCUCUCGAGCCUUCGGGCUCGCGAGAAAAGGUAGCUUCGGCCUCCGGCCGAGGAUGAGCCCGCGGCCGAUUAGCUUGUUGGUGAGGUAAUGGCUCACCAAGGCGACGAUCGGUAGCUGGUCUGAGAGGACGAUCAGCCACACUGGGACUGAGACACGGCCCAGACUCCUACGGGAGGCAGCAGUGGGGAAUCUUGCGCAAUGGGCGAAAGCCUGACGCAGCGACGCCGUGUGCGGGAAGAAGGCCUUCGGGUUGUAAACCGCUUUCAGGAGGGACGAAGCCACUCAGGUUAAUAGCCGAGAGGGUGACGGUACCUCCAGAAGAAGCCCCGGCUAACUACGUGCCAGCAGCCGCGGUAAUACGUAGGGGGCUAGCGUUGUCCGGAUUUAUUGGGCGUAAAGAGCGUGUAGGCGGCCGGGUAAGUCCGGUGUGAAAACUCGAGGCUUAACCUCGAGAUGUCAUCGGAAACUAUUCGGCUAGAGUCCGGAAGAGGAGAGUGGAAUUCCUGGUGUAGCGGUGAAAUGCGCAGAUAUCAGGAAGAACACCUAUGGCGAAAGCAGCUCUCUGGGACGGUACUGACGCUGAGACGCGAAAGCGUGGGGAGCGAACAGGAUUAGAUACCCUGGUAGUCCACGCCGUAAACGAUGGGUGCUAGGUGUGGGCGGUGUCGACUCCGUCCGUGCCGAAGCUAACGCAUUAA